GACGUUGACGCCGUCGCCGAAAAUCUCGCUGCCGUCCUCGAUGACGUCGCCGAUAUUGAUGCCGAUGCGGAAUUCGAGCCGGCUCUCGUCAGGCACGUUCGUAUUCCGCGUGAUCAUCGCGNNNNNNNGCAUCGCACGGUUUCAACCGCACUGGCGAAUUCCGCCAGCAACCCGUCGCCGGCGGUGUUGAUGAUGUGCCCGCGAUGCUUCUUGAUGCGCCGGUCGAUCAGGUCG
rnacentral:misc_RNA from 1 species